GACAGCAGCAGCCGCGGUAAUACGUAGGUGGCAAGCGUUGUCCGGAAUUAUUGGGCGUAAAGGGCUCGCAGGCAGUUUCUUAAGUCUGAUGUGAGAGCCCCCGGCUCAACCGGGGAGGGUCAUUGGAAACUGGGAAACUUGAGUGCAGAAGAGGAGAGUGGAAUUCCACGUGUAGCGGUGAAAUGCGUAGAGAUGUGGAGGAACACCAGUGGCGAAGGCGACUCUCUGGUCUGUAACUGACGCUGAGGAGCGAAAGCGUGGGGAGCGAACAGGAUUAGAUACCCGGGUAGUCCCUGUCUCUUAUAA
rnacentral:rRNA from 1 species